rnacentral:rRNA from 1 species
CGGCCUACACAUGCAAGUCGAGGGGUAACAGGAGAAAGCUUGCUUUCUCGCUGACGACCGGCGAACGGGUGCGUAACACGUAUGUAACCUACCUAUAACAGGAGAAUAGCCUACUGAAAAGUGGAUUAAUGCUCCAUAAUAUACAUUAAAGGCAUCUUUUUUGUAUUAAAGCUCCGGCGGUUAUAGAUGGACAUGCGGAACAUUAGCUUGUUGGUGAGGUAACGGCUCACCAAGGCAACGAUGUUUAGGGGGUCUUAGAGGAUGAUCCCCCACACUGGUACUGAGACACGGACCAGACUCCUACGGGAGGCAGCAGUGAGGAAUAUUGCGCAAUGGAGGAAACUCUGACGCAGCCAUGCCGCGUGCAGGAAGAAGGCCUUAUGGGUUGUAAACUGCUUUUAUAUGCCAAGAAAACCUAGUACGUGUACUAGACUGACGGUAGCAUAUGAAUAAGGAUCGGCUAACUCCGUGCCAGCAGCCGCGGUAAUACGGAGGAUCCAAGCGUUAUCCGGAUUUAUUGGGUUUAAAGGGUUCGUAGGCGUAAUAUUAAGUCUGCGAUGAAAUCCUACAGCUCAACUGUAGAACUGCCAAUGAUACUGGUUUUCAUGACGACAAAUGAAGGG